rnacentral:rRNA from 1 species
ACGAACGCUGGCGGCGUGCUUAACACCUGCAAGUCGAACGGGUCUGCCCUGUUUUUUGCGGGGUGGGUCAGUGGCGAACGGGUGAGUAACACGUGAGUAACCUGCCCCUCACUUCUGGAUAACCGCUUGAAAGGGUGGCUAAUACGGGGUGUUCUGGCUGUGCCGCAUGGUGUGGCUGGGAAAGAUUCACUUUUGUGGUGUUUUGGUGGGGGAUGGGCUCGCGGCCUAUCAGCUUGUUGGUGGGGUGAUGGCCUGCCAAGGCUUUGACGGGUAGCCGGCCUGGGAGGGUGGGCGGUCACACUGGGACUGAGAUACGGCCCAGACUCCUGCGGGGGGCAGCAGUGGGGGGUAUUGCACAAUGGGCGGAAGCCUGAUGCAGCGACGUCGCGUGAGGGAUGGAGGCCUUCGGGUUGUGAACCUCUUUCGCCGGUGAAGAAGGUCCUGCUCUUUGUGGUGGGGUUGACGGUAGCCGGGUUAUGAAGCGCCGGCUAACUACGUG